rnacentral:rRNA from 1 species
AACGCUAGCUACAGGCUUAACACAUGCAAGUCGAGGGGCAGCAUGGUCUUAGCUUGCUAAGGCCGAUGGCGACCGGCGCACGGGUGAGUAACACGUAUCCAACCUGCCGUCUACUCUUGGACAGCCUUCUGAAAGGAAGAUUAAUACAAGAUGGCAUCAUGAGUCCGCAUGUUCACAUGAUUAAAGGUAUUCCGGUAGACGAUGGGGAUGCGUUCCAUUAGAUAGUAGGCGGGGUAACGGCCCACCUAGUCUUCGAUGGAUAGGGGUUCUGAGAGGAAGGUCCCCCACAUUGGAACUGAGACACGGUCCAAACUCCUACGGGAGGCAGCAGUGAGGAAUAUUGGUCAAUGGGCGAGAGCCUGAACCAGCCAAGUAGCGUGAAGGAUGACUGCCCUAUGGGUUGUAAACUUCUUUUAUAAAGGAAUAAAGUCGGGUAUGGAUACCCGUUUGCAUGUACUUUAUGAAUAAGGAUCGGCUAACUCCGUGCCAGCAGCCGCGGUAAUACGGAGGAUCCGAGCGUUAUCCGGAUUUAUUGGGUUUAAAGGGAGCGUAGAUGGAUGUUUAAGUCAGUUGUGAAAGUUUGCGGCUCAACCGUAAAAUUGCAGUUGAUACUGGAUAUCUUGAGUGCAGUUGAGGCAGGCGGAAUUCGUGGUGUAGCGGUGAAAUGCUUAGAUAUCACGAAGAACUCCGAUUGCGAAGGCAGCCUGCUAAGCUGCAACUGACAUUGAGGCUCGAAAGUGUGGGUAUCAAACAGGAUUAGAUACCCUGGUAGUCCACACGGUAAACGAUGAAUACUCGCUGUUUGCGAUAUACAGCAAGCGGCCAAGCGAAAGCGUUAAGUAUUCCACCUGGGGAGUACGCCGGCAACGGUGAAACUCA